rnacentral:rRNA from 1 species
GAUGAACGCUGGCGGCGUGCCUAAUACAUGCAAGUCGAACGGGGAGGAGCAAUCCUUCUAGUGGCGAACGGGUGAGUAACGCGUUGGUGACCUGCCCCGGAGUGUGGGAUACCAGGCCGAAAGGCUUGCUAAUACCGCAUGUGCAAAGGAGAGAUUAGAAGCUUCUUUGCAAAGGAGUAAUCCGCUCUGGGAGGGGCCUGCGACCCAUCAGCUAGUUGGUAAGGUAACGGCCUACCAAGGCGAUGACGGGUAGGGGACCUGAGAGGGUGGCCCCCCACAAUGGAACUGAAACACGGUCCAUACACCUACGGGUGGCUG